GUGUCAGCAGCCGCGGUAAGACGUAGGGAGCGAGCGUUGUCCGGAUUCAUUGGGCGUAAAGAGCGCGUAGGCGGCCGUGCAAGUCGGUUGUGAAAUCCCGGGGCUCAACCCCGGGACUGCGUCCGAUACUGCACGGCUCGAGGCAGGUAGGGGAGAGUGGAAUUCCCGGUGUAGCGGUGAAAUGCGCAGAUAUCGGGAGGAACACCGGUGGCGAAGGCGGCUCUCUGGACCUGUCCUGACGCUGAGGCGCGAAAGCUAGGGGAGCGAACAGGAUUAGAAACCCCCGUAGUCC
rnacentral:rRNA from 1 species